AUAUACGGCCAUAUCACUUUGAAAACACCGGUUCUCGUCCGAUCACCAAAGUUAAGCAAAGUCGAUACUAGUUAGUACUUAGAUGGGUGACCGCUUGGGAAACCUAGGUGCUGUAAACG
rfam:Octopus bimaculoides Scaffold263877_contig_8, whole genome shotgun sequence.